rnacentral:rRNA from 7 species
AACUUUCAACAACGGAUCUCUUGGCUCUGGCAUCGAUGAAGAACGCAGCGAAAUGCGAUAAGUAAUGUGAAUUGCAGAAUUCAGUGAAUCAUCGAAUCUUUGAACGCACAUUGCGCCCGCCAGCACUCUGGCGGGCAUGCCUGUCCGAGCGUCAUUU